rnacentral:rRNA from 1 species
GUGGGGAAUAUUGGACAAUGGGGGAAACCCUGAUCCAGCCAUGCCGCGUGAAUGAUGAAGGCCUUCGGGUUGUAAAGUUCUUUUGGCGGGGACGAUGAUGACGGUACCCGCAGAAUAAGCUCCGGCUAACUUCGUGCCAGCAGCCGCGGUAAUACGAAGGGAGCUAGCGUUGUUCGGAAUUACUGGGCGUAAAGGGCGCGUAGGCGGUCAAGCAAGUCAGAUGUGAAAGCCCUGGGCUCAACCCGGGAACUGCGUUUGAUACUGUUUGGCUUGAAUUCGGUAGAGGUGAGUGGAAUUCCCAGUGUAGAGGUGAAAUUCGUAGAGAUUGGGAAGAACACCAGUGGCGAAGGCGGCUCACUGGACCGACAUUGACGCUGAGGCGCGAAAGCGUGGGGAGCAAACAGGAUUAGAAACCCCAGUAGUCC